AUCUCUUUAUAUACAUCUGAUUAAAUUUGAACGAUACAGAGAAGAUUAGCAUAAUCCUUGUGCAAGGAUGAUACGCAUAAAUAGAGAAAUGGUCCAAUUUUUA